UUCAUUUGAUGAUAUAUUCGACAGCUGAAACGGUCACCUUGAUACUCCGCUAGCUUAUCCAGGCUAAACCCGUAUCCAUCUAAUACUGUACGCUCAUUGUAAUCUUGGUGGAAUGAACGUGAUUCAUUUUGCUUGUAGGUUUGCAUUCCGCCGUAAGGCCAAUGGGAAAGAAUACUUGAUAUAAGUGAAACGGUUGUUUCAUGUUAAAUGAGGCGAUUGUUUCGAAUGUAUCGCUCGGACCUGGUACAGAGAAACAUCGUUUAAAGAGCAUAACAAUGUACUGGGUGCCAUGGUUCCACAUGAUCCUUUUAAACAAGGGAUUCGAAUGGAUGCAGGUCUAGUUAAGUUUGUGUGAGAUCGUUCUACCGGUUGAUGCCUUCUUUAGUAAUCUGAUUAAU